UACGUAGGUGGCAAGCGUUGUCCGGAUUUACUGGGCGUAAAGAGCGCGCAGGCGGUCGAUCAAGUCGCGUGUGAAAGCCCCCCGGCUCAACUGGGGAGGGUCACGCGAUACUGAUCGACUCGAAGGCAGGAGAGGGUAGUGGAAUUCCCGGUGUAGUGGUGAAAUGCGUAGAUAUCGGGAGGAACACCAGUGGCGAAGGCGACUACCCUGGCCUGUUCUUGACGCUGAGGCGCGAAAGCUAGGGGAGCAAACGGGAUUAAGAACCCUGAGUAGUCCGAGCACCAA
rnacentral:rRNA from 1 species